rnacentral:rRNA from 1 species
UACGUAGGGGGCUAGCGUUGUCCGGAAUCAUUGGGCGUAAAGCGCGUGUAGGCGGCCUUGUAAGUCCGUUCUGAAAGUCCGGGGCUCAACCCCGGGAGGCGGAUGGAUACUGCAAGGCUCGAGUCCGGAAGAGGCGAGUGGAAUUCCCGGUGUAGCGGUGAAAUGCGCAGAUAUCAGGAAGAACACCCGUGGCGAAAGCGGCUCUCUGGAACGGUACUGACGCUGAGACGCGAAAGCGUGGGGAGCAAACAGG